rnacentral:rRNA from 1 species
AUGAUGAUGGAGAUGCUGUGGAGAAGCCAUUCGAAGAAGGAUUGGCCGGUGUUGCCGGCUGGCGUCAAGUUCGAUCCCACGGAUCAGGAGCUGAUCGAGCACCUUGAGGCCAAAGUGAGUGCUGACAGCGCGAGAUUUCAGUCUCUCAUCGAUUUGUUCAUACCAACCAUCGACAGCGAGUACGGCAUAUGCUACACCCAACCUGAGAAACUUCCAGCACAAUUCCAGGGCGUUCAAAAGGGGCACGUGGACGCGUCGCAAGAUACAGUCGGAGUGCGGCAUGCACGCGAUGUGGCACAAGACCGGCAAUACCUUGCCGGUGAUGGUCAACGGCCGGCAAGAUGGGCAGCAAAAGAGGUUCUGGUGCUGCACACCAACAAGAACUUCAACCAGCAGAGGACCAACUGGGUGAUGCACCAGUACCACCUCGGGGACCUGGAGAAAGAGAAGGAGCGGGAGCUGGUCCUCUGCAAGAUUUUCUACCAUACGAACACUAGGGCCAGGAGUAAAAAGAUUAUAAGUUUGUUUGGUAUUGGUAGUUGUAUUACCUUGUCAUCCGCAAGUUGGUUGAGCAAGUUUCAACUGGGCUGUAGACUGCCCAGGGUUGGUUUUGUUUUUAACAGGCCCAGCCCAUGA